rnacentral:rRNA from 1 species
UACGGAGGAUGCAAGUGUUAUCCGGAAUCACUGGGCGUAAAGCGUCUGUAGGUUGUUUAAAAAGUCCACAGUUAAAAGUUGAAGCUUAACUUCAAAAAUGCCGUAGAAACUUUUAAACUUGAGUAUGGUAGGGGUAGAGGGAAUUUCUAGUGGAGCGGUGAAAUGCGUAGAUAUUAGAAAGACCACCAAUGGCGAAGGCACUCUACUGGGCCACUACUGACACUGAGAGACGAAAGCUAGGGGAGCAAAUGGG